rnacentral:rRNA from 1 species
UACAGAGGUCUCAAGCGUUGUUCGGAUUCAUUGGGCGUAAAGGGUGUGUAGGUGGCGCGCUAAGUCGGGUGUGAAAUUUCGGAGCUUAACUCCGAAACUGCAUUCGAUACUGCCGUGCUUGAGGACUGGAGAGGAGACUGGAAUUUACGGUGUAGCGGUGAAAUGCGUAGAUAUCGUAAGGAAGACCAGUGGCGAAGGCGGGUCUCGUGGACAGUUCCUGACGCUGAGGCACGAAGGCCAGGGGAGCAAACGGG